CAUUGCGAAGGCAGCUUUCUGGAUCAUUACUGACACUGAGGAACGAAAGCAUGGGUAGCGAAGAGGAUUAGAUACCCUCGUAGUCCAUGCCGUAAACGAUGUGUGUUAGACGUUGGAAAUUUAUUUUCAGUGUCGCAGGGAAACCGAUAAACACACCGCCUGGGGAGUACGACCGCAAGGUUAAAACUCAAAUGAAUUGACGGGGACCCGCACAAGUAGUGGAGCAUGUGGUUUAAUUCGAAGAUACGCGCAGAACCUUACUAACACUUGACAUGUUCGUCGCGACUCUAAGAGAUUAGAGUUUUCGGUUCGGCCGGACGAAACACAGGUGCUGCAUGGCUGUCGUCAGCUCGUGUCGUGAGAUGUUGGGUUAAGUCCCGCAACGAGCGCAACCCUCACUUUUAGUUGCCAUCAUUAAGUUGGGCACUCUGAAAGAACUGCCAGUGAUAAGCUGGAGGAAGGUGGGGAUGACGUCAAGUCCUCAUGGCCCUUACGUGUUGGGCUACACACGUGCUACAAUGGCAUCUACAACAGGAAGCAAAACGGCAACGUUAAGCAAAUCCCGAAAAGAUGCCUCAGUUCGGAUUGCACUCUGCAACUCGAGUGCAUGAAGCUGGAAUUACUAGUAAUCGUGGAUCAGCGUGCCACGGUGAAUGCGUUCCCGGGUCUUGUACACACCGCCCGUCACACCAUGGGAGUUGGUUCUACCUUAAGGCAAGGUUUCAAACCCUUGACCACGGUAUAGUCAGCGACUGGGGUGAAGUCGUAACAAGGUAACCGUA
rnacentral:rRNA from 1 species